UCUUGUUCAAUCGUUCGUUUUCAUGAUUACCUUCUCUCUUCCCCCUUACCCGCCGCCUGUUACGAAUAACGACAAACGAUUUACCCUUUAGGAAUUGCAACGAUAAAUGAAUCUAAUUCGAGGCACUCGUUGGAAAUAUCUCUCUCGAGAAGAAACGUUGAAAAAUCUCUUCGUUGUACGCGGUACUUUCCGAAAGCAUUCGCCAUGUAAAAACUCUAAAUUAAAUGUUGACGAGAAACACCGAUGUUUUGCGACCAAUCACAUCGCGUUUCUUGACGCGUCACGGAAAAGAAAGAAUACGAUCAGAAAUUCCUUUUUGUCGACAAUCGCAAUGCCUGCGCGUUCGAUAUACGUCGCGCCGAACUAGUCACGCGAUCUAUACAUCGAUUAAUUAACUAUGUAGUUAAUGCACUUUGUUCGGAUUGACACGAGAUGUGCCUUACACACAACGUUUUCUCCACAUUAACCGACUGAACCGUUAAAAUCAAACGUAAAUGGAAUUAUCUUUACUCGAAGAUGUAAUUUUCUUUGGUUGGUUAUUUCCGGAAAUUAUAAAUGGAAAGUUUGCUGUGAACAUACCGGAAUAUACGAUGCUUUACUAAGGCCACGAGAUCUUUUUAUACAUGUACCGUUUUAAAAUGAUGGAUUGUGUAAUUAGAAACCGGAUUUUGUGUAUCUAGAUAACCACUUUGAUGUUUCCUUUUGUUAAUUGCAGCACUAGUACGGUACGUAGUUUGUUGCUAUUAAGCAGUAUUAAGUGAGUAAAUAAAUUAAAUUAGAAUUGAAGAUGAAGCUUUCGUCAGACAGAAAUUGAAGAGCGUGAAAGAUCAACAACCGAAUAUUUGCGAUUAGGAUGGAAUCACGAAUCCCUUAUGCUAUGCGAAAUUUCAGUGACUCUUUAAAUUUCGACCAAUUUGACCUUCAACCAUUGUUUUUAGUAAUGUACGAUUUCAGAAGAUAGGCGACGUGAAUCAUUACAACGGAAACUCAAAUUUUGAUUAAACGGGACGGCCGAAAGAGGCAGUGAAGACACAAAAUAGAAGAAAAAAAUAAAGUAACUUACGGCUAUCCCUGUAGAACUGUACUUGAACAGAAAUUCAAUUUGAAUCAACGAAGAGAAAUCAUGAUACAGGGAUAAAAUAAGAAUACCAACAAGUUUGAAGCCCUUCGCGAGAAGAAUGAUCGAAGUAGAAGAAACCUCGUUUACGAAGACCUCGUUCGAAGAAUGUUCGAAGCGCCGAUACACUGACAGAACUCAGCGACACUUUGCGACCAUUGGACGAUUAAUGAUUCGACAUUUAGAAAGAGAAAGGGAGACCGUGAGAAGUACAGAAAAAUCGACAAACACCAAUGAUACUUAUCUAGGGACUUAAUGUUUAAUACCUAUGCGCAACACACCGCUUCACUUCUUUUCGUUUUAUACAGCUUCCUCAACUAAGACACGAUAGUUCUCUUUUUAAAAAUUUGUCUAAGUGUACGUCGUUUCGAUAAUGAUACGUUUCUCCGUGAACAAGGAGGAAAUGGGGAGGGAGAAAAACUAUUUUUUACACAUGAUGCGUUUUCGAAACUUAUUAAAGCAUAUUUCUAAUAAGUUCCUUUUUCUUUCAACAUCGUAGCAAAAAUGGUUUUUGAGAUUUUUCCUUCCUUGUUACGCCGUCCACACGUACUAAUAUCGUUCACGUAAGAAAUAAUGCAGGUAAAAUUACGCUAAAUAGAUUGUAUAUAUACAUAUAAUAUAUAUAUUAUAUAUUAUAUGUAUAUAUAUAUUUUUUUUGUAUUAUAUGUAUAUAUGUAUAGUCAUUUACUCUCGCUUCGCUAGAAUUGGCACUUGGAUUUUCUGCUUUUUCUUUUUUCACUCU
rnacentral:lncRNA from 1 species